AGCAGCGUCCGCUUCCUGGAGCUCAGACUUCAUAACAAAGGUUCCAGCUCUCUUGGAGGAUGCAAUGAGAUCCCUAAAUAAAUUCCAUUGGAAGAUCCAAGGAUUUAAGGGCAUUUUACAUAAUUAAAAGGAGCUCUGUGACAAAUCGCACCACCCAGUACACCCGUGACAGACAUCUCUGAAUUGCCUGGGGG
rnacentral:lncRNA from 12 species